rnacentral:rRNA from 1 species
UGAGGAAUAUUGGUCAAUGGGCGAGAGCCUGAACCAGCCAAGUCGCGUGAAGGAUGAAGGUUCUAUGGAUUGUAAACUUCUUUUGUCCGAGGGUAAAGUGUGCCACGUGUGGUAUAUUGCAAGUAUCGGACGAAUAAGCAUCGGCUAACUCCGUGCCAGCAGCCGCGGUAAUACGGAGGAUGCGAGCGUUAUCCGGAUUUAUUGGGUUUAAAGGGUGCGUAGGCGGGUGAUUAAGUCAGUGGUGAAAUCGUGUGGCUCAACCAUACAGUUGCCGUUGAUACUGGUUGCCUUGAGUACAGUUGAGGCAGGCGGAAUGUGAUGUGUAGCGGUGAAAUGCUUAGAUAUGUCACAGAACCCCGAUUGCGAAGGCAGCUUGCCAAGCUGUAACUGACGCUGAGGCACGAAAGCGUGGGUAUCAAACAGGA